GACCUGGUUGCGGAAUGGACCGCGUCUGCACCGAGUGGGCAAGCGUCGCAAGACAAAUCAUGCAGAAGCUCCCGUUCGAUUCGGGGCCAGGUCG